AUAAAACAAUGUGUUACUAAUAUUUAUAGCAGUAUAUUAUUCUAUUUACGUAAAUAGUAUAAUUUUUUGGAGCUCCCUCUUCCUCUUCUACCUCCUUCCUUCUCCGGUUCUCCCUCCACCUCCUCCCUCCUCUUCUUCUUCUUCCUCCCUCCUCCUCUUCUUCUUCCUCUCUCCUGCCCUUGCUCUUACUUCUCAUCCCUCCUUCUUCCUCCACCUCCUCCUCCUCUUCAUCUCCUCUUUUUCCCUUGUUGCUCUUCCUUUUCAAAUGCAAGCUACUUUUGAAUAUUUUUCUGUAUUUUUCUAUACUAUUUACUUAAUAUACAUAGUACGGUAUAAUAUGUUUAUUAC
rnacentral:lncRNA from 1 species